GCUUCAAUAGCUCAGGGGUAGAGCGCGGCACUAGUAACUUACGAAAUGCUGAGGUCGCUAGUUCGAAUCUGGUUUGAACCA